rnacentral:rRNA from 1 species
GACGAACGCUGGCGGCGUGCCUAAUACAUGCAAGUCGAGCGAAUUGAUGGGAGCUUGCUCCCUGAUAUUAGCGGCGGACGGGUGAGUAGCACGUGGAUAACCUGCCUGUAAGAUUGGGAUAACUCCGGGAAACCGGAGCUAAUACCGGAUAACAUUUCGAACCGCAUGGUUUGAAAUUGAAAGAUGGUUUCGGCUAUCACUUACAGAUGGACCCGCGGCGCAUUAGCUAGUUGGUGAGGUAACGGCUCACCAAGGCAACGAUGCGUAGCCGACCUGAGAGGGGGAUCGGCCAAACUGGGACUGAGACACUGCCCAGACUCCUACGGGAGGAAGCAGUAGGGAAUCUUCCGCAAUGGACGAAAGUCUGACGGAGCAACGCCGCGUGAACGAUGAAGGCCUUCGGGUCGUAAAGUUCUGUUGUUAGGGAAGAACAAGUACCAGAGUAACUGCUGGUACCUUGACGGUACCUAACCAGAAAGCCACGGCUAACUACGUGCCAGCAGCCGCCGUAA